GACAGAGGUGCCGAGCGUUAGGCGGAAUCACUGGGCUUAAAGCGUGUGUAGGCGGACCGUUAAGUCACUUGUGAAAUCCCCCGGCUCAACCGGGGAACGGCUGGGUAUACUGGCGGUCUUGAGCCAUCCAGGGGCAGUCGGAACAGACGGUGGAGCGGUGAAAUGCGUAGAUAUCGUCUGGAACGCCGAAGGUGAAAACAGACUGCUGGGGAUGAGCUGACGCUGAGACACGAAAGCCAGGGGAGCGAACGGG
rnacentral:rRNA from 1 species